rnacentral:rRNA from 1 species
GACGAACGCUGGCGGCGUGCUUAACACAUGCAAGUCGAACGGUGAAGCGCCUUCCUUUGUGGUGGGUGUGGAUGAGUGGCGAACGGGUGAGUAACACGUGAGUAACCUGCCCCCUUCUUCUGGAUAACCGCAUGAAAGUGUGGCUAAUACGGGAUAUUCUGUGCCUGCUGCAUGGUGGGUGUGGGAAAGAUUGCGCCUUUGGGUGUUUUUGGUGGGGAUGGGCUCGCGGCCUAUAGCUGUUGGUGGGGUGAUGGCCUACCAAGGGGUGACGGGUAGCCGGCCUGAGAGGGUGACGGUCACACUGGGACUGAGACACGGCCCAGACUCCUACGGGAGGCAGCAGUGGGGAAUAUGCACAAUGGGCCAAGCCUGAUGAGCGACCGGUGAGGGAUGGAGGCCUCCGGGUUGUGAACCUCUUUCGCACAGUGAAGCAGGCCUGUCCUGUGUGGGUGGGUUGACGGUAGCUGGAUAGAGCGCGGCUAAU